rnacentral:rRNA from 1 species
CAGAACGAACGCUGGCGGCGUGCUUAACACAUGCAAGUCGAACGCGAAAGUUUCUUUCGGGAAAUGAGUAGAGUGGCGCACGGGUGAGUAACGCGUAAGUAAUCUACCCUGGCAUCUGGGAUAACCCACCGAAAGGUGUGCUAAUACCGGAUACGUUAGAGAUAAGAAAGGUGGCCUCUAUUUAUAAGCUACUGUGCUGGGAGGAGCUUGCGUACCAUUAGCUAGUUGGUGGGGUAAUGGCCUACCAAGGCGACGAUGGUUAGCGGGUCUGAGAGGAUGAUCCGCCACACUGGAACUGGAACACGGACCAGACUCCUACGGGAGGCAGCAGUGAGGAAUAUUGCGCAAUGGGGGCAACCCUGACGCAGCGACGCCGCGUGGAUGAUGAAGGCUUUCGGGUCGUAAAAUCCUGUCAGAUGGGAAGAAGUGGUAUAUAGUUAAUACCUAUAUGCUUUGACGGUACCAUCAAAGGAAGCACCGGCUAACUCCGUGCCAGCAGCCGCGGUAAUACGGAGGGUGCAAGCGUUGUUCGGAAUUACUGGGCGUAAAGCGCGCGUAGGCGGCUUUUUAAGUCAGAUGUGAAAGUCCACGGCUCAACCGUGGAAGUGCAUUUGAAACUGGAAAGCUUGAGUAUCAGAGGGGAUGGUGGAAUUCCCGGUGUAGAGGUGAAAUUCGUAGAUAUCGGGAGGAAUACCGGUGGCGAAGGCGACCAUCUGGCUGAAUACUGACGCUGAGGUGCGAAAGCGUGGGGAGCAAACAAGGAUUAGAUACCCUGGUAGUCC